GACGAACGCUGGCGGCGUGCUUAACACAUGCAAGUCGAACGGGACGGCCCCUUUGGGGGUACUCGAGUGGCGAACGGGGGAGUAACACGUGAGUAACCUGCCCUUGACUUCGGGAAAACUUCAGGAAACUGGGGCUAAUACCGGAUAGGAAUCCUUGCUGCAUGGUGGGGGUUGGAAAGCUUCGGCGGUUUUGGGUGGGGUCGCGGCUUAUCAGCUUGUUGGUGGGGUAGUGGCUUACCAAGGCUUUGACGAGUAGCCGGCCUGAGAGGGCGACCGGCCACAGUCAGACUGGGACACAGACCAGACUCCGACGGGAGGCAGAGGUAGCGAUUAUGGCACUAUGAGAAUAAGCGAGAGCCAGCUCCGCCGCUGGCGGGAGGAUGACGAACGGGUUGUAGUCCGCUUGCAGCAGGGGCGGGGAUGGUGGUGACGGUACCGGCAGAAGAAGCACCGGCUAACUACGUG
rnacentral:rRNA from 1 species